rnacentral:rRNA from 1 species
AAAGAAAAUAACAAUGAUUCCCUUAGUAACGGCGAGUGAAGGGGGAAAAGCUCAAAUUUUAAAUCUGCUAGGUUUUACUUAUCAGAAUUGUAAUUUGAAGAAGCGUUUUCCGCGUCUCGGUUGGCCCAAAUCCUUUGGGAUGAGGUAUCAUGGAGGGUGAGAAUCCCGUUCGGUUGACCUCAUGACGCUUUACGAUACGCUUUCUAAGAGUCGAGUUGUUUGGGAUUGCAGCUCAAAAUGGGAGGUAAAUUUCUCCUAAGGCUAAAUAUCGGCGAGAGACCGAUAGCGAACAAGUACCGUGAGGGAAAGAUGAAAAGAACUUUGAAAAGAGAGUAAAAUAGUACGUGAAAUUGUUGAAAGGGAAACGAUUGAAGUCAGUCGUACCGACGAGAAAUCAACUUAUCGUGUGCGAACUUGUGGGCGUGCGUGAGUUUCGGCCUCGCUGUUUGCAUGUUUGUGCGCUUUCGGUGUACUUUUUCGUAUGGUAGGCCAACGUCAGUUUCGAUCAUUAUAAAAUGACCGGCGGAAUGUAGCUUCGAUUUCGGUUGAAGUGUUAUAGCCUCUGGUAGAUGUGGUGAUUGGGACUGAGGAUUGCAACGAAUACCCUUUGGGCUAUCCGUCUGAUCUCUGAAAGUUGCUCAGGUGCCGAAAGCUUGCUUACGGUCAUCUAAGUUGACGGUCAAUAGGUUAGAACGUGAUUACAUUCGUUAAGGACGUUG